rnacentral:rRNA from 1 species
GACGAACGCUGGCGGCGCGCUUAACACAUGCAAGUCGAGCGGUCCCUUCGGGGGCGAGCGGCGGACGGGUGAGUAACGCGUGGGAAUGUGCCCUUUGGUACGGAACAACUGAGGGAAACUUCAGCUAAUACCGUAUGUGCCCUUCGGGGAAAGGAUUUAUUUGCCAUUGGAGCAGCCCGCGUUGGAUUAGGUAGUUGGUGAGGUAAAGGCUCACCAAGCCGACGAUCCAUAGCUGGUCUGAAGAGGAUGAUCAGCCACACUGGGACUGAGACACGGCCCACGACUCCUACGGGAGGCAGCAGUAGGGAAUCUUGCGCAAUGGGCGAAAGCCUGACGCAGCCA